rnacentral:rRNA from 1 species
GCUUAGAGUUUGAUCCUGGCUCAGGAUGAACGCUGGCGGCGUGCCUAACACAUGCAAGUCGAACGAAGUUUUCGAACUUAGUGGCGGACGGGUGAGUAACGCGUGAGGAUCUGGCCUUAGGUGGGGGAUAACAGUUGGAAACGGCUGCUAAUACCGCAUAUGGCGAGAGCUGAAAGAUUAAUUGCCUGAGGAUGAACUCGCGUCUGAUUAGCUAGUUGGUGGGGUAAGGGCCUACCAAGGCAACGAUCAGUAGCUGGUCUGAGAGGAUGAUCAGCCACACUGGGACUGAGACACGGCCCAGGCUCCUACGGGAGGCAGCAGUGGGGAAUUUUCCGCAAUGGGGGGAACCCUGACGGAGCAACGCCGCGUGCGGGAGGACGGCCUGUGGGUUGUAAACCGCUUUUCUCUGGGAAGAAGUUCUGACGGUACCCGAGGAAUCAGCAUCGGCUAACUCCGUGCCAGCAGCCGCGGUAAGACGGAGGAUGCAGGCGUUAUCCGGAAUUAUUGGGCGUAAAGCGUCCGUAGGCGGUUUAUCAAGUCAGUUGUUAAAGACUGCAGCUCAACUGUGGGAGAGCAACUGAAACUGAUGAACUAGAGUGCGGUAGGGGUAGAGGGAAUUCCCAGUGUAGCGGUGAAAUGCGUAGAUAUUGGGAAGAACACCAGUGGCGAAGGCGCUCUACUGGGCCGCAACUGACGCUGAGGGACGAAAGCUAGGGGAGCGAAAGGGAUUAGAUACCCCUGUAGUC